rnacentral:rRNA from 1 species
CUACAGGCUUAACACAUGCAAGUCGAGGGGAAACGACAUCGAAAGCUUGCUUUUGAUGGGCGUCGACCGGCGCACGGGUGAGUAACGCGUAUCCAACCUGCCCACCACUUGGGGAUAACCUUGCGAAAGUAAGACUAAUACCCAAUGAUAUCUCUAGAAGACAUCUGAAGGAGAUUAAAGAUUUAUCGGUGAUGGAUGGGGAUGCGUCUGAUUAGCUUGUUGGCGGGGUAACGGCCCACCAAGGCGACGAUCAGUAGGGGUUCUGAGAGGAAGGUCCCCCACAUUGGAACUGAGACACGGUCCAAACUCCUACGGGAGGCAGCAGUGAGGAAUAUUGGUCAAUGGACGAGAGUCUGAACCAGCCAAGUAGCGUGCAGGAUGACGGCCCUAUGGGUUGUAAACUGCUUUUAUAAGGGAAUAAAGUGAGUCUCGUGAGGCUUUUUGCAUGUACCUUAUGAAUAAGGACCGGCUAAUUCCGUGCCAGCAGCCGCGGUAAUACGGAAGGUCCGGGCGUUAUCCGGAUUUAUUGGGUUUAAAGGGAGCGUAGGCCGGAGAUUAAGCGUGUUGUGAAAUGUAGAUGCUCAACAUCUGCACUGCAGCGCGAACUGGUUUCCUUGAGUACGCACAAAGUGGGCGGAAUUCGUGGUGUAGCGGUGAAAUGCUUAGAUAUCACGAAGAACUCCGAUUGCGAAGGCAGCUCACUGGAGCGCAACUGACGCUGAAGCUCGAAAGUGCGGGUAUCGAACAGGAUUAGAUACCCUGGUAGUCCGCACGGUAAACGAUGGAUGCCCGCUGUUGGUCUGAAUAGGUCAGCGGCCAAGCGAAAGCAUUAAGCAUCCCACCUGGGGAGUACGCCGGCAACGGUGCAACUCAAAGGAAUUGACGGA